ensembl:lncRNA
GGUGGACAGGUAAAGCGUUCAGAGAUGUUUCAGUGUUUGUUUUACGAGGAAUGCUUGGACCUCCUGCUGAAGCUGAGAUUUACUGUAUAUGUGUGUGUGUGUGUGUGUGUGUGUGUAUACACAGAUGAAGGUUUCCACAGGGCUUUUGUAGCUGUUUUUGGAAUCUGGCCACUGCAAGUCAUGUGACAUAUGAGACACAGAUGUCAAAAGAGGGCGGGCUGAUGCUGAGAGAGAUGCUGCAGCUGAUUCGGUGUAUCAGGUGAACAGAUCCUAGAGCUUCUUUUCAUCAUGGUGUGUAAAAGAGAAUUGGGAAACGGUUUGGGAAAUCUGACGUUAAGCAUUCCUAGCUCUGUCAUCAGGGUUCAAAUCCCGGGAUUGUCCGAGAGACAGACUUUAAGCAACGACUGAGCUGUACUGCGCAUGUGCGAAUCUGACUCGCUGCUUCCUGCUUGCUGUUCUUCUACAACAUUCUGACACACGUGCCAAAGCGUGAUGUUUAGGGUCCAGGAACCCGGGGUAGAACAGAAGGCGGGGGACACCUGGACAGGGUGCCAAGCCAAUCGCACACCCAUUCACACACUAUGGAAAAUUUGGAAAUGCCAAUCAGCCUACAAUGCAUGUCUUUGUCUUCAUACCUGAUGGAGGAAACCGGAGUACCCAGAGGAAACCCCUGAAGCACAGGGAAACCUGCUAGCCUCUAUCCCUUAGUGCAUGGUGUUGCCACAUGACGACAAUUAAUUUAUCUCCAAUUUUUGAUCGGCAAUAAUAUAAAACUACAAAAUUUUGUUAUGUAAAUGAAAAAAAGGGGUUUUAACGUUGACAUGAAAAAAGCCAUGUCACAUGACCAGUGCUGAAGUGCUGCAAAAUUGGGGUCUCAAAAUUUUAUUAUAUUUAUGAAAAACUAAUUAAAGAAAAAAAAAAAUUAAACACUAUAUCUGAGAUAAGUUAACAUUAAUAUUUCCCCUUCAUUUUAACAAGUUUGUAUAUUAUGAGUAUUCUGUUAAAUGGUAAAAUGUUCUUGUUGCCAUAUGGCAGCAACAUGCGAUUAUAUAACUGAACAGAAAA